UACGUAGGUGGCAAGCGUUAUCCGGAAUUAUUGGGCGUAAAGAGCGCGCAGGUGGUUGAUUAAGUCUGAUGUGAAAGCCCACGGCUUAACCGUGGAGGGUCAUUGGAAACUGGUCGACUUGAGUGCAGAAGAGGGAAGUGGAAUUCCAUGUGUAGCGGUGAAAUGCGUAGAGAUAUUAGGAGGAACACCAGUUACGAAGGCGGCUCUCUGGACUGUAACUGACGCUGAGGCACGAAAGCGUGGGGAGCAAACAGG
rnacentral:rRNA from 1 species